GGACCCGCACAAGCGGUGGAUGAUGUGGUUUAAUUCGAUGCAACGCGAAAAACCUUACCUACCCUUGACAUGUACGGAACUUGCCAGAGAUGGCUUGGUGCUCGAAAGAGAGCCGUAACACAGGUGCUGCAUGGCUGUCGUCAGCUCGUGUCGUGAGAUGUUGGGUUAAGUCCCGCAACGAGCGCAACCCUUGUCAUUAGUUGCUACAUUUAGUUGGGCACUCUAAUGAGACUGCCGGUGACAAACCGGAGGAAGGUGGGGAUGACGUCAAGUCCUCAUGGCCCUUAUGGGUAGGGCUACACACGUCAUACAAUGGCUGGUACAAAGGGUUGCCAACCCGCGAGGGGGAGCUAAUCCCAUAAAGCCAGUCGUAGUCCGGAUCGUAGUCUGCAACUCGACUGCGUGAAGUCGGAAUC
rnacentral:rRNA from 1 species